rnacentral:rRNA from 1 species
CGGGUCAAAGGAGCAAUUCGCUUCUGGAGGGGGUCGCGGCCGAUUAGUUAGUUGGCA